GUACGGGAGGCAGCAGUAAGGGAUAUUGCGCAAUGGGCGAAAGCCUGACGCAGCAACGCCGCGUGGAGGAUGACGGCCUUCGGGUUGUAAACUCCUUUUGAGGCUGACGAGGAAGGACGGUAAGCCUCGAAGAAGUCACGGCUAACUACGUGCCAGCAGCCGCGGUAAAACGUAGGUGGCGAGCGUUAUCCGGAUUUACUGGGCGUAAAGCGUGUGCAGGCGGACUGUCAAGUGGUGCAUGAAAUCGCUCGGCUUAACCGGGCGCGGGUGUGCCAGACUGAUGGUCUGGAGUGCGGGAGAGGGGCGUGGAAUUCCGGGUGUAGUGGUGAAAUGCGUAGAGAUCCGGAGGAACCCCAGAGGCGAAGGCGGCGCCCUGGCCCGACACUGACGCUCAGACACGACAGCAUGGGGAGCGAACGGGAUUAGAUACCCUGGUAGG
rnacentral:rRNA from 1 species